CCAGAAUUGAGCGUUUCUUCAGACUAUGUGUUCUCCCUGAAGUGUUGGGACAGCAACUUACAAGGGGAAAGUUUCAGUUGCAAGAUGAUCAGGAGGGAGAGAAGGCGUGAUUACCAGCACCUGUGGUCUGUCCUGGUCCCGGAAGUUGUGGUUCUCUCCUUGUUGCAUUAUUAUUACGUGCCGUAGUGGGUGCUGGUGUUUGGGUGUGUGUGGGUGUCUUUUUCUCUCUCCCUCUGAUCUCCCCAGGUGCUCCCAAUCUCCAAUCAGCGCCUCCAUAUAGGACAUGAGGAAGGUUGCAGUCGCUCUCCCCUUAUCUUAAGCUUUGUUUGACAAGUUGGCUGGUGAGCCCUUUUUCGUUGUGUUAAUUAAAAGACCACUUUAUGGCGUCAGAGAUCA